AGUCAACUUCGUCCCCAACCCUUCUCCUCUUCACGCACACCCGCUUCCUCUCAACCCCUCGUCAAUCCCCCCACUAAAUCAACCUCAUCGGCAGCGAGCGGACCGCCGUGAAGCCGUGGGGCGUUCCUCCUAGUGGGAGGGAUCCGUGGAGCAGCCUCGCCGUCACGGACGCGGGGAUCGACGCGUUCGAUGGGGCCAUGUAAUUUGACGCAUUCGAGUUGGGCUGGGCGAGCUUGGAGGCGUCGGCGAGGGGGCAUCGGCGGCGUGGUGUUGCGUCCAGACCGUGGCGUACUUAUGUCGCUUUUUUGGAGAUGGUUUACUCGCAGCAGUUCGUAGCUCUCCAUCGUUGUCAUUCUCCAUGGAUGAGCUAGUGGUGGUCAACACCAUAGGAUGUAUAUUUAUCAGCGCAGCAUUGCAGGGUAACCUUCUCGAGGAUCGUCAAGAGGAAAUCGACGGAGGACUUCUCUGCCGUGCCAUACAACAUGACUCUUCUCAACUGCCUCCUAUCGGCGUGGUAACUAGCCAGCUCCCAAUACUUGAGCUUCACAGUCUUGCACUCUACUAGCACUAGAACUACUUGCAGCAAGACAGGCUUUGUGUGAUUGGUUCUUCGUCCAUGCCAUUCGUGUUUUUUUUUAACUACCACAUUGAAUCUUGUUUCAUACUACUUUGCUAAGGGACAGUUGGGUCAUAGUCUCAUAGAUGUGUAAAUCCCCUGAAAUUUAACUUGGCUGUACUAGUUCCAUGUAUUUUUCAUGAUAAGUUAGUACUAAUUUGAACACAAUCAUAUGCAUGUGUUUAAACGAUAGAUGUAUGUUUAUAUUUUCAUCAUGUAAUUUUCAGUGUAUGGACUGUUUUUGGUCUGUAACUUGCUAACUUCUUUGUGCAUUGACUGUAUGUAGCCUGUAACUUUCUUCUUAUGUACAAUUUGUAUGGUUUUAAACAUAGCCUGUAACUUCAGUGUAUGGACUGUUUUUGGUCUGUAACUUCUUUAUGUAUUGACUGUAUGUAGCCUGUAAUUUUCUCUUGUGUACGGUUUAUAUUGUUUUAAACAUAGCCUGUAACUUCUUUGUGUAUUGAAUGAUUAUAUAUAUGUAUAGUUUGUAACUUCUUGUGUGUGAGCACUUUUUCGUUUCUAGCCUGUAGUUUAUUAAUUGCAUUUUGGACUGUAAGUUUCUUAUAUGUAGCACGUAACUUCUUAU